CAGUUAAACCUGUCUUUAAACCAGGGACCUUUAGAUCUUCAGUCUAACGCUCUCCCUACUGAGCUAUUUC